UACGGGGGGGAGCAAGCGUUGUUCGGAUUUACUGGCGUAAAGGGCGCGUAGGCGGCCACCGCAAGUCGACUGUGAAAUCUCCGGGCUUAACCCGGAAAGGUCAGCCGAUACUGCGGGGCUAGAGUGCAGAAGGGGGCAACUGGAAUUCCUGUGUAGCGUGAAAUGCGCAGAUAUCAGGAGGAACACCGGUGGCGAAGGCGGGGUCUCUGGGGGCCCUAACUGACGCUGAGGCGC
rnacentral:rRNA from 1 species